AUGCGCACCCUCACUUUCCUAGAGACGCGCGCACACACCUGAUCGUCACAACCGAGCAUGCGUUACUGCGCGCGACGCCCUUCCUCUCCUCCGCCACCACGCGCUCCCUGACCGGCCACCCGACGCGCGCGCCUCCUCCCGCCUCCGGCGCGCAGGCGCCGUUGCCUCACGCGCGCCGAAGGGAAGGGGUUUCCUCCCCCCCCCCGCACAAAAUGGCGGCCAAGGGCUUUGGUGGCGCAGUUUAAAAAAAACGGGGGGGGGGGGGGGGGGGGGGGCUGGCCGAGCCCCCAAAGCGUCGAGGACGGGGCAGAUGUGGGCGGAAAGGCCCAGAGACGUCCAACUCCAUUCGAUCCAGCCCAGCCAGGGGAGAAAUUCACAAAGAGAAUUUGCCCAGCAAGUCAGUGGCAAAGAGAGACCCCAGGUGUCCUGACUCCAACAGACUCGCUCAUUUCUCAGGUCCCAGCCCUGGUCUUGGGAGGCGAUUCCUGACUCCGAUGCAUCCCACAAGAGGUUUUCCUGAUAUUCCGUCCAAAUCCCAGCACCCGGAAUUCGAUGCAGAUGGCGACCUGUGCCGGGGUGCUCCUGGGCCUUUGUCGCCCCCUGCUGGAGAACCCCUGGUCUUACUACACCCUGCCCCACACAAGCAGCAUCAGAGGAAGGCCCUCUAGGUCUGCCUAGGGAGGCUGCACAGGGAUGCAGCCAAUGUGAGCCUAGCAGGCUCAGAUAAACGGUGCUUAGCAGGUCCUGUCUUGGCCCAGCCUGGCCCUGCCUCGGGGCUGGCGAGGGUGAGGGCAGACAGACCGUUUUGUUGGACUCUGUGCUACCCUGGAAGGGGUUCAUUUUGACUGCUGAGAGUGACCCAGUCAGAGGGCUGCCUCACUGAAGACCUGCCAGGUGAUGUCAGCAACCCACCCUGGGGGUCCCAGGAAUGGGAAAGGCCUGCGGUACCGCACGUGGCAGCAGGAGGUGCUCCAGAGGCGAGUGCCCCUGUUACCCUACCCUAAAGAACUCCUCCCAUGACUGGAUUUCACCACCCUUGAGAGCUGCAGAUGGUUCUGUUUCCCCUCUCACUAUUUCUACUCUCUAGGGGUUUAAUAGGUAAACAAGCCCCGAGCUUGAAGCUCAGAGAGAGGAGACACGCUAAACAUGAGUCCUGACUGGCUCCCUUCGGAGCAGUUCCAGAGCAUCGGCCCUGUGACUCCAUGACAGACCCCCAUGGCUGUCCCGGGGCAGCUGACUUGGGCUCACAGCACUCAGGCUGAGGUGCUAUAACAUUACAAUGUAGAUGUGCAA